UAUUUAUUUAAAUAAUGUAAAAUAUUAGAGAAACCCUACACGUUUACACUAUUUUUUCUGUAUAAAUAACUUCCCACCUCCUUAAACAAACGUACAGAAAAUUAAAUUAAAUAAAAUUUAAAUUGGCUACACAACAUGAUUUGGAGAUACCCACUAAUCCACUCACACCAUUACAAUAAAACAGUUAGAAUAAACAAUAUAUAUCAUCGGAUAUAACAAUAUCAAAGCAUCAUUCGUCUAAUACUUUUGUAAGUGCCCGAAAGUUUCCUUCUUCAUCGAUGGCUCCUGUGUUUGGCUUGAUCAAAGACCUGGAAGUAGGAAAGAGUAAAUUUGCAUUGCAGUUGCGAUUGGUUCGAAGCUACGAAGUUCCUCAAUUUCACAAUAUCAACGAAAUUGGCACACUUGAAUGUGUUUUUCAUGAUAAAGAGGUAUGAAAACUUUUUUAAUUUCCAUGUUUGUAUGCUUAGAUUAUAUUAUUAGCCUAUAUUAACUAAUCUUCAAUUGCAGGGAAAUCGAAUCCAUGCAACCAUUCAAAACUUGCAAAUUGAGAAUUUCAAGAAUCUCCUCCACGAAGGGAAUGUUUAUGCAGUCAUGAAAUAUAUUAUCGGAAACAACAACAUGAGGACGAAAACAACAACAAAUCGCUUGAAGAUUCUGAUUUACAAGGACACGAGAAUUGCAGAACUUGUAGAUGAUGGAUUCCCUACUCAUGUGUUGAACUUGAAAAGUUUUGAGGAGAUAGAAUCAAUGAAAACAACACCUGAUUUCCAAGAUGCUCCGCUAUUUGGUAAGUGCAACUUAUGAUUUAAAUUAUUUAAAUACUACAAAUAUAUUGAUAGCAGUGCUAUUUUUUUUUUUAGAUGUAAUGAGAAUCAUCAUAUCAUGCUACAAGC
rnacentral:lncRNA from 1 species